rnacentral:rRNA from 1 species
AUACGUAGGUGGCAAGCGUUGUCCGGAAUUAUUGGGCGUAAAGCGCGCGCAGGUGGUUCCUUAAGUCUGAUGUGAAAGCCCCCGGCUCAACCGGGGAGGGUCAUUGGAAACUGGGGAACUUGAGUGCAGAAGAGGAUAGUGGAAUUCCAAGUGUAGCGGUGAAAUGCGUAGAGAUUUGGAGUAACACCAGUGGCGAAGGCGAUGGUCGGGUCUGUAUCUUACACUUAGGCGGCAAAUCGUGGGGAGAAAACAGGAUUAGAUCCCCUGGGAGUCCACGCCGUAAACGAUGAGUGCAAAGUGUUGGUGGGUUUCUGCCCCUCAUUGCUGCAGCUAACGCAUUAAGCACUCCGCCUGGGGAGUACGGUCGCAAGACUGAAACUCAAAUGAAUUGACGGGG